rnacentral:rRNA from 1 species
UACAGAGGGUGCGAGCGUUAAUCGGAGUUACUGGGCGUAAAGGGCGCGUAGGCGGUAGAUUAAGCUAGAUGUGAAAUACCUGGGCUUAACCUGGGGAGGUCAUCUAAGACUGAUUUACUGGAGUACUGUAGAGGGUAGUGGAAUUUCUGGUGUAGCGGUGAAAUGCGUAGAGAUCGGAAGGAACACCAGUGGCGAAGGCGGCUACCUGGACAGAAACUGACGCUGAGGCGCGAGAGCGUGGGGAGCAAACAGG